rnacentral:rRNA from 1 species
UCAAGCGAACAAGGGCGCAGGGCGAAUGCCUUGGCACUGGGAGCCGAUGAAAGACGUGAUAAGCUGCGAUAAGCUUCGGGGAGCUGCAAAUAAGCAUUGAUCCGGAGAUUUCUGAAUGAGGAAACUCACCUGGGUUCAUACUCAGGUACAAUGCACUGAAAUUUAAAAUAGGUGUAUUGAGGGAACCGCCUGAACUGAAACAUCUAAGUAGGGCGAGGAAGAGACAUCAAACGAGAUUCCGUAAGUAGUGGCGAGCGAACGCGGAAGAGGGCAAACCGAGAGUAGAAAUACUUUCGGGGUACGGACUGCUUUUAAGACUCAAUCUGUUAACCGAACGGCAUGGGAAGGCCGGUCAGAGAGUGUGAGAACCACGUAGGUGAAAACGGAGAGAGCUGCGCAGGAUCCAGAGUACGGCCAGACACGUGAAACCUGGUCGGAAUACGGGGGGACCACCCUCCAACCCUAAAUACUACCCAGUGACCGAUAGCGUAUAGUACUGUGAAGGAAAGGUGAAAAGCACCCCGGGAGGGGAGUGAAAAAGAACCUGAAACCCUGUGCCUACAAGCACCUAGAGCACGUCAAUGUGUGAUAGGGUACUUUUUGUAGAACGGUCCGGCGAGCGAUUGUAUGCAGCAAGGUUAAGGACUUAAGGUCUGGAGCCGAAGCGAAAGCGAGUUUGAAAAGGGCGUUAAGUUGCAUAUAAUGGGCCCGAAACCGGGUGACCUACCCAUGGUCAGGUUGAAGUGGAAGUAAAAUUCCAUGGAGGACCGAACCGACCUCCGUUGAAAAGGCGGCGGAUGAACUGUGGGUAGCGGAGAAAUUCCAAUCGAACCCGGAGAUAGCUGGUUCUCCCCGAAAUAGUUUUAGGACUAGCCUCAAGUUAGAUACCUGGAGGUAAAGCACUGAAUAGCCUAGCGGCCGAGAGGUUAGCGAAGCUUAUCAAACUCAGAAUGCCAGAGUAUUGAUGCUUGGGAGUCAGACAGUGUCAGAUAAAUGUCAUUGUCAAAAGGGAAACAGCCCAGAUCUACAGCUAAGGUCCCAAAGUCAGGUUAAGUGGAAAACGAUGUGAAGAUACGCAGACAACCAGGAUGUUGGCUCAGAAGCAGCCACUCAUUCAAAGAGUGCGUAAUAGCUCACUGGUCGAGCGUCUUUGCGCGGAGAAUUUAACGGGGCUAAACCUGACACCGAAGCUUAGGCAAUACAGCAAUGUAUUGGGUAGGGGAGCGUUGUAUACGCGGAGAAACAGUAGCGCAAGCGGCUGUGGAGUGUAUAGAAGUGAGAAUGCCGGAAUGAGUAGCGCGAAUGCAGUGAGAAUCUGCAUGGCCGAAAGCCUCAGGUUUUUGGAGGAAGGUUCGUCCGCUCCAAGUUAGUCGGGAGCUAAGGUGAGGCCGGAAGGCGUAGCCGAUGCACAGACGGUAGAGAUUCCGUCACCACCAAAAGAGUUAAGCACAGGGACACAUAUGAAGUCUCAGAGCCGGGUGUUGGUUCCGGUAGAGAUCGAGGGAAAUUAGUACCGAAGUCUGGGAUGGAAGAUGGCGAGAAAAGCUGUGUGUAUUUCUGAGGUGCCCGUACCGCAAACCGACACAGGUAGGUAGGAAGAAGAUUCUAAGGCCAACGGGAGAAGGGUUGUUAAGGAACUCGGCAAAUUGACCCCGUAACUUCGGGAGAAGGGGUGCUCCAGAGAUGGAGCCGCAGAGAAUCGGCCCAAGCAACUGUUUACCAAAAACACAGGUUUGUGCUAAAUCGAAAGAUGACGUAUACGAGCUGACGCCUGCCCGGUGCUGGAAGGUUAAGAGGAGAUGUGCAAGCAUUGAAUCGAAGCCCCAGUGAACGGCGGCCGUAACUAUAACGGUCCUAAGGUAGCGAAAUUCCUUGUCAGGUAAG